GGGGAUUGGUCCGAAGGACUCAGUGAUGAGGACGUGGUCACGUCUGAGGAGCACGAUGAGAUGGAAACAAACCUUCGCUGAAGUAAUCCUGACGAGGCAGCUUCAUUCUGUCCUUAAAAUAUUCCUCUUGAAGUCCUGCUUGACAGGUAUAAAAAGUCUCAACAUUUCCAACAGCUGAUUCGCUGAAGAGAAUGGAAGGCACUUACAAAGGACACCUGCAUCAGCUACCCUGCUGUGACUUUAUACAGGAAGCAAGCUAUACUUACCGGACAAGACUCAGGUCAAAUAACCAUGAGCCCCAAUAUAUACUGCACUUGGCUAUGAUACAUCCCUCGAAUAUAUUUUUUUCUGAAGCACCUUUUGCAGCAGGGUCAUUGGCACAGGAUUGAGAGCACGCUGUGCAUAGAAUGGCGGCAGGCUCCUGUUGACAGUGGCAGUGAGUUCACGACUCCACCUGUCCAUUGGGGUUGGCGGUGGUAACGGGGACAGUGGGGGCAAAGCUUUUCCUGAAGAUUGGAGGCGAUGACAGCAGCAAAACACCGCAGUGCAGCUAGGCCCGGGAGCCUGCAGUGGAGGCUGGACAUUUCCAUUACAAUUUUAUUGAGAUAGGACUAUAGAUCUGGACAUUUUUCUUUCCUUUUGGCUUUAUUUCUUUUUUUCUUCUUGGUUUUUGUGACCAAUGGGGUGCUGGACAAUGGUGACUUUGUACACUUCACGCUGUUCUCCUGUAUUCCUCUACUCAAGUGUA